rnacentral:rRNA from 1 species
UACGAAGGGGGCUAGCGUUGUUCGGAAUUACUGGGCGUAAAGCGCGUGUAGGCGGGUCUUUAAGUCAGGGGUGAAAUGCCAAGGCUCAACCUUGGAACUGCCUUUGAUACUGGAGACCUUGAGUCCGGGAGAGGUGAGUGGAAUUGCGAGUGUAGAGGUGAAAUUCGUAGAUAUUCGCAAGAACACCAGUGGCGAAGGCGGCUCACUGGCCCGAUACUGACGCUGAGGCACGAAAGCGUGGGGAGCAAACAGGG